GCAGGAAAGGGGCGUGAGAGUGAGGCCAGCAUGGUCUACCCAGGGGGGUGAAGGGCGCUGCAAGUUCCUAGGGCAGCCAUGUAUAUGAUAACAGCGUUCUGAAAAAGAUUUAUAGAUAAUGAUCUACAAUUACUUACUAGCACCUAAAUACACAAAAGAACUUGGAAUUCCAAGUCACAAGACCUGAAUUCCAGUCUACAGGAAUGGCAGCAGGCGGGCAUGGAGCUCAGCGGAGGUAAAGCAGACUUUGGCAAUUAAAAAACAAAACAAAAUAAAACCAACCAACCAACCAACCAACCAAGCAGCCUUGUACAGAACAGUGAGGACGCCAAGGACGAGGAGUCUACAGCUUUACUGUAGGAUAUAUAUACACACAUAUGUACAUAUGUAUAUAUUUCUGAAAGGCCUCUCCUCCGCUGGCCGUGUCAACUCUCAGGUCACAGUCAGAAGCAUAUGACUUCAGAAUCACUUCUUCACUUCUCCAAGGUCUUCAAUGCUGUCAUCAUCUACCUAUAAGACACAGGUAAAGAACUUCAUGAAUUGUGGCAUAAAUUAAGAAAGAAAGAAAGAGACUUGCUUUAAAACCCUGCAUCUAUUGGUACAUGCAUCCUGUGCACUUACCUCUGGCCACUUUUCCUGAAUGACAUCGAUUAUGUCGUCUGUGAAGUCUCCCUGAAUGAUGAUCUCAUCCUCCCCUGUUACUGAGGCACCGCAGGAGAAUUUUUGAGCAAAAAAUCUUUGUGCUUCUUUGAGAUCAAUUUCUGUUUCGGUUUGUUUGUUUUAAAAAAGAAAGGGCGAGAGCAUAAUUGGAAUCAUAAAACAAAAGUAUUUCUUCAUUUUGAAA